AAUCAUUUCUGUUAUUGAUUUUUAUAGCUAAUAUGAAAUUUCUGGUUGCCUUUGAUUUCAAGUGCGAUGAAUAUUGUGAAUGCACACAAGGGAAAAAAAUUCAAGAAAACAGCAAGUUGGGAAGUGGUUAAGGGUCCUAUCCAGCCUGAUGCAUCUCAAUGUGGAUUUUAUGUCAUGAAGUUCAUGAAAGAGAUCAUAACACGCUAUGAACUUAAUGCCUACACGUCUCUAUCAUCGAUGUUUAAGAAUGUUAAGACAUACACCGAAGCUGAAAUCGAUGAUAUUCGUGAGGAAUGGGCAACUUUUGUGAUAAAGCAUGUGUUUGCUUGAACUUUAGGAAUGGAGCAGAUGAUAGGAAAGAUAGAAGUUCCCGGGAACUACAAUCCUUAUUUACAACAAGAAGACUACAACAUGGAUGGAUAACCGUAUAGAUCUCUUGACUUGUGGUAUAUGUGCUUUAUGAACUGAAAAUAUUAGUUUCUUCUACUCGAACUCGGAGAAUGCUGACCUUGUCGUCUUGAACUGCAUUUUGUCUGGCCUCGUUGCUUUAAAUUACUCAUGUAUUGGACUGCAUUUUGCCCUGUAGAUUAACAGAUCUUACUUUUGAAUCUUUGAUGAUUGUUUUUGCAACUUCUGAAUGUUAAUAUUAUGUUCUCAAUGUUAUUUUA